rnacentral:rRNA from 1 species
UACGGGGGGGCAAGCGUUGUUCGGAAUUACUGGGCGUAAAGGGUUCGUAGGUGGCCAACUAAGUCAUACGUGAAAUCCCUCAGCUUAACUGGGGAACUGCGUCUGAUACUGGUUGGCUUGAGUGCAGGAGAGGAACGCGGAAUUCCAGGUGUAGCGGUGAAAUGCGUAGAUAUCUGGAGGAACACCGGUGGCGAAGGCGGCGUUCUGGACUGCAACUGACACUGAGGAACGAAAGCCAGGGAGCAAACGGG